AAACUUCCAGAGAGGUGUAACACCAGGAAAGUCCUUGGGUCUCAGAGGGCUGACGGCACCAACCAGCUGAUUUGCUUCAUCUGCAGCUGAACUGCUGCUGGACUCCAGCCUAGAACACUAGCACACCGGGUCUGCUCUUGAAGAUUUGCAGAUUCUGAAAUCCAAAUGCCCUUUGUUGCCAGAAAAGGCUGGCUCCCUUGCCUGCUUCAUAAUCCCUUCUCACCAGGCUUUCCUAAAGAAACUCAAUGAGUCAGAAAGGAAGAAAACAUGUCUGAGGGAGAUCUGGAGGCAUAUGUUUGAGAUGCCUGGCCACUGGAGGUCAUCUCGUCUGCUAUGUUCACCACAGAUAAAUAAUGAAAAGAGAAUACACAACCUUGUGAUUGCUAGCAGUGAAAGCUCAGAGUUAUGACAUAACAAGUGAUUGAUCAUACUGUAAAACUCAAAUGUGAAGGGAAGGCUGGAACCUACUGGAAACUGAAGACCUAACGCAAAGAAGGAACUUUUAGGAACUAGCAGAGACUUCAAAAU
rnacentral:antisense_RNA from 1 species